GGACGCUUUCGAGCGGUCC
rnacentral:misc_RNA from 1 species